rnacentral:rRNA from 1 species
AGAACGAACGCUGGCGGCAUGCCUAACACAUGCAAGUCGAACGUGAUCCAUGACUUCGGUUGUGGUGAAAGUGGCAAACGGGUGAGUAACGCGUGGGAAUCUGCCCAGAGGUAGGGAAUAACCGCGGGAAACUGCGGCUAAUACCCUAUGUGCCCUACGGGGCAAAGAUUUAUCGCCUUUGGAGGAGCCCGCGUCGGAUUAGGUAGUUGGUAGGGUAACGGCCUACCAAGCCUACGAUCCGUAGCUGGUCUGAGAGGAUGAUCAGCCACACUGGGACUGAGAUACGGCCCAGACUCCUACGGGAGGCAGCAGUGGGAAUAUUGGACAAUGGGGGCAACCCUGAUCCAGCAAUGCCGCGUGAGUGAUGAAGGCCUUCGGGUUGUAAAGCUCGUUUCGGCGGGGAAGAUGAUGACGGUACCCGCAGAAGAGCCCCGGCUAACUUCGUGCCAGCAGCCGC